AGUCUUCUGUAUCUGUGCUGAGAUUUCGUCACCCAUCGGACCACGAAGGCUGAUGAGACUCCCAAGUGAAGUGAAGUG
rnacentral:pre_miRNA from 1 species